GGGGGGACUACAUUUCCCAGGCUGCCUCGGGCGCGGGCUACCCCUUGUUAGCGUGAGAGCUGCAGGUUGAUCGUCUUGGUUGCAGAUGAGCAGAGAGAAAACAUUGGGGGGGGGGAGAGAAGAAGGGGGGCUAGGAGAAGUGCCUUGGGCAGGCGAAUUAUGCAUGCAUUAGGCGAGCGCUGAGAGGAUGGCUGUGGAAGCUAUCCAUUGCAAUCUGAAUCCCAAUGGCAUUGAUCGUCCUGUCCACACAGAAGAUAUUAACCUGUCACUUGAAGGUGAAGGAGUUGAGUUGCCCUCGCGUAAGAAUGAUAAUACUCAAAAGGUGCUUGAGUUGAAAGGGACACCCAAGAGACAGCAGGUGGAACCAGAAACAUCUAAGUCUGGUACUGUGAAACUGACAAAACCAGUAGCUCUGUGGACCCAGCAAGAUGUCUGCAAGUGGUUGAAGAAACACUGCCCUAAUCAGUAUCAAAUCUACAGUGAGUCAUUCAAACAGCAUGACAUAACGGGCCGUGCAUUGCUGAGGCUUACUGACAAGAAGCUUGAACGAAUGGGGAUUGCCCAGGAGAGCCUACGACAGCACAUUUUGCAGCAGGUGCUUCAGCUGAAAGUGAGAGAAGAAGUCCGAAAUCUACAAUUACUUACACAAGCCCCAACAGAGACUUCUCCAUAAACACUACCAGCCUCUAAAGCUUCUGUCCUGCCAGGUGAUAUGAAAAUGAACUUUACUUCGUGAAAAGCAUAACAAAUGACACUGCCAGAAGGUGACCAUGGAGAAUUGAAAGAUUAAAUGAAAUACAACCAUUCAGUCAAGAUGAUGCAUUCUGGAAAGUCCUGGUUUGCUGUGGAAUUAAAAUGUGGUGCAUAAAAUACAGUGCUAAUUUGUUCAAAGUUGUCAUUGACAGACCAUUAGCUGGAAAACUGUUUCCAGUUUUCAUCACUGUGCAUAACUGUGAGUUCCCUUUAGGGGACUAUCUGUGCCCUUCACUGGAAGUCCUGUUUUAGCAUGGCAACUACUGGAUUAUUUUAUGAUGUAUGCAGAUGGCAUGAUGAUGUUUUAGGAAAAACUUAGAGCAGUUUUCCAACCUCCAUAAAAAUGUUCACAAUAUUACACCCCCGAUAGGAAUGUAAAUGUCUUGUAUAUGUUAGUUAUGCAGUCUAAUGGUAUUCUGUUUAACUAUAUGUGAUCUCCACACAGAAGAGUUAGCACAUUUUAUACAUGUCAGGAAAGGUAUUUUCUUUAUUUCAAUACUAAAAUAUGUUUCAGUACCUACACUGAGACUGUAUCUAAAAUAGAGCCCGUACUUGCAUAUAUUCACAGAUUCAUGGGAGAUUGCAUAGAUAGAUUUGCUCAUGGCAAGUAUGCCACUAGACAUAUUUUAUUGAGCCUUACUGUACAGCUCUCAUGGAGGUAGCCAGGAGUAGGGGAUGUUGAAUGGACUAUCGGACAUCAUGUCUGCUGUCCCCCACCCCCACAAUAAACCAAGCAGUCCACAUUUCUGUUGUGCUAAUGUGAGGUUCCCAUUAAAUUGUAAAGGAAAAGAUCCCUUCUCUGAGAUGCGUUGUGCCUAUGGCUUCGCUCUACAUUAAACACAAGAGAGACUGGAGAAAUUCUGGUACUUGUGCUAAUCACUAUUUGGCGGGGGAGGGUAAGGAAUCACAACUUGCAGAGGCCGAACAAAACCUCUUGAAGAUAAUAAAGAGUGAGAGGUGCACUAGAUGCUCCCACUCUGUACGAAUCCUCAUACAGGACAGAUACCUCCAUUAACAUUUUCUCCUCUUUCUACCCAAAACAUUUUUUUUUUUUACUCUGAACUGGGGUUAAAGUAAAUGGUUCUAAUAACCCUUUGGGCAUUCUGUAGCAGGCUCAAGACUGUUGCAUUCAAACUGAGCAUUGUUAUUUGUUGUUCAGUCUCUAAGUGGCUGACAUCAUGGGUUGUGUCACAGCUGGCUGUGGUACAGUUUUUAUCCACGGGGACUUGCAGGAAGUACUUUUCAUCCCACCCCUCACAUUGGGACCUAUUUGAAACAGACUAUUUACAAUGAAGUAAAUUAAAUAGUCAGCAGCAUCACAAGGGACCAGCCUGGUGGUUCUUGCAGUUCCUAAAUCAAAGAUGCCACUUUGGGUAGCCACAGAACAUCUUUCUCUCCAACCUAAUGGACUAACACUUAGUCCAUCUGCCAAACCUGUAGAGAGCCUUCCAUGUUGGAGACUUAGAUACCAAUAGAGGAGAGAAGAUGAAUCUUCAUGGGAUAACAGUAAGACAAAGGGAUAUUUUUGAGGGAGUUCAUGUGGUACACUUUUAGAAGCUAUUCUAUACACUACUAGUGAUUGUAAGAUCAACCAGCUAGAGCACCAGUGCACCCAAAGUGUAUAUUUUUGGCUUUUUCAGAUGGGUGUGGAUUUAUGUCAGAACUUUUCACCUAUCCCUGGUAUGUAAACAGUAUAUAUACUUUUUGGACAGAUAUAAAAAAAUUAGGCUCAGCAUGUUGGCUACUGUAUAAUAUCAAUUUAGAACACAAUUACAAUUAGUUAUGGCCAAGAUUUUCAAAAUUGUCUCAUGAUUGUUGGGUUCUUAACUUGACACCUUAAGGGAGCCUGAUUUUCAGAAAAUUCUGAAAACCAGGUCUCUCUAAAGUUUCUCAAAUUGGGCAUCCAGAACUUUCAGGCAUCCAGAAUCACAAGUCACUCUUGAAAAUUGUGGCCUUUAAUUUAGAUUGGUUAGAAAAACUCCAAUAAAGAAUAAUAUCGUCUGAGUGCAAAUAUGAUAAGAAUAAUAUCAUCUAAGUGCAAAGUUGCUAGAGCAAUACUUUAGCAAUGUGUACUUUUUAGAGUUGCCCAUAGUAUUGCAAGUUGACUUUUUUUAGAAAUUGGUCAUGUGCAUUGCAGCAUUUCAUUAAAAGUUUUAGCACAUUUUAUAGCCCUUUCCUAUUCUGUUUUAGAAUGAAUUCUGGGAACUGAGAUCUGUCAUUUUUGUAGGUCACUUAUAUUACUAUUGCUGUUUAAAAAAAACUUUAUUGGUUUGUUUAAAACAAAACAAAAAGAGAGAGAGAGAUAUUUAAAUGUUAAGGAUCCUCUUUUACUAUACUCAAGUUUAUUACAUAGUGAUACAUACUAGAAUAAUUCAAAUGAUAAAGUUAAGAUUGUCACAGAUCAUUAUACUAUAUGGGCGUGAGAGAAAAAGAUUAGUUAGGUAAUACGUUUUUAUAUCAAUGUUAGUUUUAAACGUCUACUAGUACAUGGGCAUGAACUUAGAUGUCUGAACUAAUCCGCUUAAAACAGUUUGUUUUAAAUGAUUCCCGGGGUUUAGUUAGGAGGAUCUGGGAAAUAGAGGCACUGAGAAAUGUGAAAAUAAGGGCCAAGUCCUGGUCUAACUGAAUUCAGUGGAGUUUUUCCAGAGAUUUUAGGAGGCCACUGUUUGACUCUAUGUUUGAAACUUAUUUAGGCCUCAAUCCUACAAAGACCUAUGCAUGUGAAAGACUUCAAGCAUAAGGAUUCUCCCACUCACGUGUGUAAGUGUCUACAGAAGCAGGGCCAUAAGGAGCUUACUGUGUGUUUGAUUUGUAUUUAACUAGUAACCAUGUUUAAUCACUGUUACUCUCCGAAAAUAGGCCAUGCUUCCUCAGGGAUAUUUAUGGAAUUAUUAUACAUCCAAUGAACAAUUGUCUGAAUCCCAACACAUUCCUCUGAAAAGUGUGUAAUAUAAAUAAGGGUAGGAAGGGGGUUACAUUAGUGUGAAUGGAGCUGAGUACUGUGUUGUGUGAGAGGCUACGGAAAGCUUUCAUGUUUUUAUGCUGAACACCUUAUUAAUAGCAGACCCCCUCCACUUUUCCCUGGGUCCCAAGAAUAGAUCCAUGGAAAGAAUGCUCUGUCUAUAGUCAUAAUUAAUUUAUAGCAAGGGUGCCAAGACUAAGCCAACAUGAAAGAUAAGGAAUAAAUUCAUUCCUGCAAAAGGAAGUGAAUUUAAAUAUGCUCAUAGCCAUUAGUUCUGUGCAAAAGCAGAGUAGGAGACUAAUGCCAUUGUGUUAGAAUAGCAGAUCUCACUCAGCCCUAUGGAGGUAGGGGUGUGUGUGUGUGUGUGCAUGCGUAUGUGAGAGAGAGAGAGAGAGAGAGAGAUGUGGUUAAUUUAAUAAUGUGGGUGGGUGUGUACUUUGCAUUAUCACACAGUAUCACCAUUAAAUUUACCACUGUGACACUGGCAAUUGAACUACCACAGACUUAACUACUACCUCUAAAAUACGGGUAAACAAUAAUAGUAUCACUAGCAGAAUCCUCCUAGCUCAGCACUCAGUCCUGCAGCCUUGCUCCCAUGAAUGGUCCGAUUGCCUGCUACCCUUAUUCACCUGGAUCCAUAUGUGAGUAAAAGCUGCAGCAUCAGACCUUCACUAAGGAGUUUUCACAGAGGCCAAGCCAUCUUAACUACUUCAUAUAAUGUCUUUUCUUAUACUAGGAGGGCAAAGGAAUCACCAGCCUAUGUAGGAAACUAUACUACAGAUGAAAAUACGUUGUGUGCUUUUUAUUCCCUAUUUUUAGCUGUAUCGCUUGCUUUGUCUGCAACUGUCACAUAAUUGAUUUGUUAAGAAAGAUAAAGACUGACAGGCAAGAAGCUUGCAAAAGUUCUAUUAGCUCUUCGGUUUUGCCAAUCCAUCUGUAUCCAAGUGCAUUAGCAGGUUCAUUCUUUGCACUAUUUUCCUCUCUAUUUUUUAAGAGUAAUUUUGUGACUUUACAACUAGACUUAAAGCAGCUGUAGACUGUUUUAAAUAGAGGUUAACCUUUGAGAGUGACAUAAUUCUUUAUUUUAUAAGGGCUGUGGGGCAGAUCCCCAGCUGGCAUAAAACCGCAAAGCUUCACUGAAGUUGUUGGAGCUUCACUGAUUUAUGUGAGCUGUAGAUCCAACUUCAUUUUGCUGGUUUUUCUUAAAACAAAAUAACAAAAACACUAGAUAGGUCAAUUAUUCAAAAAUUACUCACACAUGGAAAAAAAUCUUGCAUGUUUUACCUCUGUACUCUUAUAACAAAUAGUAUCUUUGUAAACUCAGUCUCAAUGAAAGCCCUCGAUACCUGGCUAUGGUAAAUUGGCUUUCAUCUCUAGACUGUGAUCAAUAUAAGAUUUUAAUUUAAAAAUAAAAGAGUCCUGUGGUUUAAUGAGGGUUGAUAAAGCCAAAGAAGUAAGAUUGCUGUUGACAUUAUCUACUGUAAACUUUGGGAAAGAUGUUUUGAAUACAAAACACCCCAAUACAUAACAAAUGGAAAAACAGGGAACCUCACAUCAAUGUGUACAAAUCAGAAUUUAAGAUAUGCAGAUGAUUGAUAAGAGAAGCUAAAGGUAUCAGUGAAAAAUCUUUGGUCAGUCGUGUUAAGGAUGAUAAGAAGGAAUUAUUUAAAUAUAUAAUGAACCACUGAAAUCUUAGCAAAUUAUCUAGGUCCAAUACUAGCCAAAUAUGGUAAAACUAUCAAUCCUGGUGCAGGACAGGCAUAAGUAUUCAACAAAUAUUUCUGUUUUGUGGUCAGAAAGAAGCAGAAUAGUGUAGUCAGAUCUUACAGUGAUAAUUAAAUACUUUCUAUUCCAUCAGUCACUAGAGAGAAUGUUAAACAGCAAGUAUUAAAGAUAAACAUUUAAAAAGUGUGGGACUGGAUAACUUAUACCCAAAUGUAUUAAAAAAAUUUACUAUGGAGCUCUAUGAAUCAUUAAUGUUGUGGUUUUGUUUUUAAACAAAUUUUACAACACUGGGGAAGUUUCAGAGAACUGAAAAAAGGCCAGUGUUGUGCCCGUGUUUAAAAAGAGUAAAUGAGAUGACUUGGGAAACUGUAGGCUGGUUAUCAUGACAUCAAUCCUGGGCAAAAUCUUGGUCAGGUUGAUGCGGAAUGCUGUCAGCAAAGAAUUUAAAAAUGUUUGCAUAAUUAAUGCUGAUCAGCAUGGUUUUAUAGAGCUUGUCAAACAAAUUUGAUAUCAUUUUUGUGAAAUGACAAGUUUGGUUAACAAGGUAACUAUUUUGACAUAAUAUACUUAUAUUUCUGUAGGUAAUUUGACUUAGUCCUGCAUUGUAUGAAGUGUAGUUGCAGCCGCGUCAGUCCCAAGACUUUAAAGAGAUAAGGUGGGUGAGGUAAUGUCUUUUAUUGGAUCAACUACUGUUGGUGAGAGAGACAAAGCUUGAAAGCUUGUCUCUCUUUACCAACAGAAGUUGGUGCAAUAAAAGAUAUUAACUCACCCACCUUUUCUCUCUUAGUCUUGCAUGACAUUCUGAUUAAAAAUAGCACAAAAUCAAUGAAGCUCAUAUUAAAUGGAUUGAAAAUUGGUUAACUGAUAGAUUUUGAAAGUAAUUGUAAAUGUGAAAUUGUAAUCCAUAUUUCGAGAGGGGAUCUGCAGGGAUCAUCUCUUGGUCCAAUGUUGUUCAAUAUCUUUAUCAAUUAUCUUGGAAAAAAUAUAUAACAUGCAAAAUUUACAGAUGACACAAGAAUUGGUGGAGCUGUAAAUAAUGGCAUGACCUGAAUCUCUUAGUAAUAUGGUCUCAUUUGAACAACAUGUGUUUUAAAACAGACAAAUACAACGUCAUCAUCUAGAAACAACGAAUGCAGGUCACACUUAUGAGAUGGGGGACUAUAUCUUAGAAUGUAGUGACACUAAAAAGGAUUUGGGGUUAUCAUAGGAAAUUGCUAUAAGAAUGAUUUGAGGGCUGGGGAAAAAGGCCUUAAACUGACAGAAUAAAGACACUCAAUCUGUUCAGUUUAUUGAAAAGUAGGUUAAGAGGUGACUUGACCAUGGUCAACAAGUACCUACCAGGGGAAGAAUUUUCUGAUGGCAGGGAGCUCUUUAAUCUAGCAGAAAAAUGAUAUAACAAGAUCCCAUGGUUGAAAGUUGAAAUUAGACAAAUUUAUACUAGAAAUAAGCAACAAAUUUUCAACAGUGAAGGUAAUUAACAUUUGGAACAACUUAUAUAGGGAUGUGGUGGAUUCUCCAUCACUUGAAGUCUUUAAAUCAAGUCUGAAUGCCUUUCUGAAAGAUAUGCUAUAGCUCAUACAAUGUAUGGGUUUGAUGCAGCAAUUAUUGUGAAAGAUUCUUUUGUCUGUAGUAAGAGGAUGGGUGAGGGGCUUAUAAGUACCCACAGAGACUUACUCAGAUAGAAUUCUAUUGAUUUUAAUGUGUUAGUUUACAGUAGUAGAAAUUAUGUAUGCAGAUCGACUUUGAGAUAAAUGUCAGUGGGACUGCUUGUAAAGGACGGUAAGACUGAACAUGAUUGAAGGGGACAGAACUGGGUCCAAAAUGACUAUUAAAAAAGAAGAACAAGUCUGUGUUCUUCUACAAGUAACAUCUUGGGGCCAAAUCAUGCACUCAAAUCAUUGGGUUCAGUGAGAGUUUUGUCUGAGUAAGGAGUAAGAAUGGCAGAGUUUUGGCACUGGAUUAGAAAAGUGGUAUUCUACAGUAAAGAAACUUUCUCUGCCUGUACAUUCUGAAUAUUUUUGUUUUGGAAAAAUUUUAAAAUUUUUGUUUAAAAAUUAAACUUUUUUAAUUUGUGGGUUUUUUCAUUUUUAUAUUUGAUUAUUUAAUGAUAUCAGUCGUACUCGCUACCGAUGUCAUUAAAUAAUAAUAGUAGUACUACUAACAUGUCAUAUUGUGACGAGUCAAAAUCUAUAUUUUAUUUUUAAAAUCAUUAAGCUCUGCUGCUAUUCAGUGCUGAUUAAAACAUCAUCUCUUCUUUUUUUCAGAGUGUCUCCUGUUUGUGUUGUAUUGAAACAGUGUGACAUUUUGAACAAGAUAGGCACUCCAUGUACAAAUUAGAGGAGCAGAUGUUUUCAAUAGCUUUGUGUUAGCCUGGAAUCAUUUUUCUAGAAUAUUGUCAAUAGCUGCUCCUCUAAUUAGUAAAAUAAGAGAAUACUGUGACUAUUAUAUUUGACAUGAUAUGUCAUGUUGUGCACUUCUACUAUUGAUGUGUCAUGAAAUACCUUUAUUUUUACAUUAACAUCAAACUGAAAAAUUUAAAAAUAAAAUUUUGAAUUAAAAAUUUUGUUUUGAAACUAAGUUUUGAAAUUUUUCCAAAACAAAAUUUUCAAAAAGAUUUAUUUUCAUAUAGAAAAUCAUGUUUUCUGUUGGAAAUUUUGUUCAAAUAGAUACAAGUUCACAAAAAACUUGGAUUAGUCAAAAUGGCAUUUUCUCAUGGAAAACUGUUUUGACUAAAAUUUUCUAACCAACUUCAGCAGUAAGCACGCCAACUUUAGCAGUAAGAAAGCUUUUGCAUGAUUCACCCCUUAUAGUGGUCAGUUUGAAUUUUGGUGCUUUAAAAAUAAGUAACAGAGCACUCAGUUUCUGAUGCAAGUUUCACAAAACAAUGUUUUGAUGGGAGUACUAUAAGCAGAGGAUUUAAUACCUGCCUUUUACAGGUCUUCAGUAUUCUGGGGGGGAAACAGGAUAUAUGUUGUUUAGAAUAGACGAUAACUAAACUCAGCCAAAGAAAAAAAGCAAUGUAUUUACAUUUAACUACCAGAAGGUGAUGUAGGCAGACUGAUGUAGGCAGGUUGAAAACCUUAGCCAAAAAGCAGGGCUAAAACUGAGAACCUAGUCAAGAAGGUAAAGAUCUUUUGGAUUCUUGCUGUAAUCCAACAUAAAAAGAAAUUAGUUUGGGUUAGAUUUACUCCUUAAAGAACGCUAGCCCACAUCGGUCAGCCAUGGAAUGAAUUUCACGCAGUCACUAGCUUACGUUUGUGAUAGCUUUUAAGCAUCUUUCGUAUUCUGAACAACCUUGCAGCCCACAAAGGAGAACUGUCCUUAGAAGGCAUGUUUGAGGUCAUAGUUUGGACAAAGAAAGGAGCUGAUGUUUCAGAUGGCUGUAUAAUGACAGCUUCUGCUCUAAAAGCAGGAUUUUGAGUAUUAUUAUACAACAUCCAGGCUUAGCUUGAGAAUGAGAUGUAAAGCUUCUUUCUGAUUUUUAAGUGAAGAAUAUACACCGAAUACAUCUAAAAAAUUCCACUGUGCAGUUAUUGUUGCACAUCUAAUCAUAUUAUUUCUAUUCAACACUUGCAGUGAAUUCAUCUAUUUAAUUUGGUGGCUAAUGACAUUAAAUAGCUAUACACAAAUUUUUAGCAAAGGGAGAUCGAUACUGUAGCAAAACUGCAUAUGAGCAAUAAAAGCUGUGUAGAGAAAAAUAUUGAUCCACCAGGUUGAAUGCUUGGGGGUUUUGUUUGUUUGGAGCAUGCAUUUAUACAUCCGUGCAGAGGUUCUCCCUUAUUGAGCCUGGCUCUGAUUUCAAGAAUAGUGCAGAUGAAGGGAUGUUCAGAGUCCUCUUAUUUUACCACCUGAUCCUCAUUUGCUAUAUCCAGUAGCCGCUAUUUCUAUGUUAUUCUUCUGAGAAGGGUGGAAGAGAGAUCUGAGUGACCUCCACUAAGAUCAAUGUCAUGCCAUAAGCAUGUGAUCUUCCAACCACUGCUAAAAAUCCUGUCACAGGAGGUACUCAUUUAUAACCCUUCUCCCUCCUGUAAAUUGGCUUCAGCUCCACUGACCCAGAUAAGAGAGAGAGAGAGAGAGAAUCUUGUGCCAUGCUGUGAACAAGCUUACAUCUUAGUCCUGUAAGACCUGAAUGGAAGUUAAGGGCACUCAGCACUUUGCCCAAUCAGACGCUAGCAGUGUAAAUACCCUGAUUGCUAGAGGCCAGUGAAAGUUUGAAGCUGACAAGUUGAGGGCCACUGAGAACAGGUUAACUGCACUCUUUUGAUGAGUUAUUACUGUAUAUUGGGCUCAACUCAAAAUUAAGAUGAAAUGCACAGCACAAUAUCAGACAACGUGAAGUAAAUGAAUGACUGUGCUCCCUCUAAGAUGGGACAUAAACUGCUAAGGAUGGCUUCUCUUAUUUUGCAUUAAGCCACUACGAAAGAAAAAUGCUAUGAGUAAAAUAAUUAAUUAUCUACCUUUUCAUGGCAUUUCAGAAUCGGGGAAAAAACCAAGAUAGCAUUCAACAUUAAGAUUUCACACACCCCAGUAAUUAGCAUGGUAUAACGCUAGCAUUUCCUCCAACACUGAAAUAUAGAUCUGAUCUCAUUAUACUCAAUGGAAAGAUGCUUGUUAACUUCAGAAAGCAUUGCAUCUGGCCACUUAAUCCUUUCAAGACUCUAGGUAUGUAGGUCCAGAUUUUUAAAACUUGACUUUCUUUUUUGCACUCACAAAUCAAUGUGAAGGCAGUUGUUUGUAGGUGAAAAUGAAAGCAUGUAGACAUGCAACUACCUGUUCACUCCUACAAACUAGGCAAGGUAAGCUAAAAUGUUAAAAAUAACCUCUAAUUUUGACAGCUACAGCUCUGUUUUUAGCAGUUCAACUUUGGGACCUUGGCCUUGAUUUUUAGAAACGCCGAACACCCGCCGCAGAAAUUUAAGUCAAUGGCUUAUCAUAUCCAAGGUAUGUUAAACUAAGCAACCAAAAAAUCCAUGGCCCCUUUUCAGAAUUUGGCUGCAGGCAUGGCCUCAUUUGCAUUCACAAAUAAUGGCAGUGUCAGUUGUUUGUGGAUGCACAUUUCAGACACAGAAAGGUAGGCCAGGUUAGUUCCUUUGAAAAUCAUGGGCUAGAUUUAUAACAGGGGAAUGGGAUGCGAGGGAGGUGAGGUUCUAUGCUCAGUGUUUUGCUGGAAGUCAGAGUAGAUGAUCAUAGCCUUUCAUACCCUUCUAGCCUUGAAAUCUAUGAAUCCUCAGCUGGAUUCUGCUGAAUCGCUGUCGCUCCAUUGAUUUCACUGCCAGUUUGCACCAGUUGAGGAUUUGGCUCCAGGCCUUUAUCUCCUCUUAAGUAUAUACAUGGCUGACUGCUAGCACACUAAGGGUUAAUGAGUUGUUUUACUCAUAGGUCUCAGUGAAGAGUGGUUCCUCCCAGCACUAAACUUUUUAAAGACAGAGGCAAAUAAGGCGGCAUAAUCAAGAGUGUGCCUUUUUGUUGGAUGUACACUGUUUCUUCCCAGGCACCCAAGGGUUUUAAUCUGUAGCGCAGUUCAUUUUUUCUCAAAACACAGGAAUCAUUGUACAAUCCAAUUCUGAGUGGCUGUCAAUGUUAAUUCCACUUUAUCGUUUUUAUAUUUCCUCUGUUUUCCCAAGUCAA